UGGACACCCGCUCUUCUCUCCUAUUUCCAUGAGGGCAUUCCAUCUGCUUCCUCCUAUUCUUCCACAGGAAAUUCUGGGAACAGGCCAUGGCAAUCACUCCCACCAUACACUGAACCCACAGUACGUGGGCAAGUCAAUUCUUAACACCCCUCCGCGAAACAAGACGGCAACUUCUUGUUAACGGGACCUCAACGAAACUCUGUCAUUAACACACACAAAUACACAGGCUCAAGUUCAGCCAGCCACACAGACAUCUUUCAUUUACACUUAUGACAGUGGGUCAUUUUGCCCCUGUGUGAUACUCGCACACACAUUCAUUUCACACACUCAUACACACAGACACUCACUCAUACAGACACACAGACACUCACUCAUACAGACACACAGACACUCACUCAUCCAGACACACAGACAGUGGGAAUUUGAGAAGCUCCAGUCAGACUGAGGAAUGCUGCUGGACAUGGAUUGCUCUCCAUUCACCAGACUCACAGUGUUUCUCCUCCUCCUUCCAGCAGUUCCAGCCAUUAAUCCGACUAACCAGACAGAGGUUAUGGGUGGACCUUUACAAACCACCACGCCUGUAGCCAUUUCCGAGGUGACCUCAGUACCAACACCACGAUCCAACACCACCACUGUGGCGGUUGUUGAUACAAGCCCAGAACAAGCCCAUCCACAGACUGAUGUCACACCAUCCCUAGCAUACUCAACGCCAGGGAGCAACACUCUUGUGACAAACCCCAGUGUCGGGCAGUUAAAUCGAACAAUGAGCUCACCCGGAAACGACAGCAGUGACAAUGAGGCGCCCACGUCCUCAUCCCAACCAUUGUCUCCUACCGCCACAGGCAUGACUCAGGCACAAAGAUCUGCUACCACCUCACAAGACACUUCCAAAGAACCUGGAUCGACAGCUGCCACAACAGCCCCCUCUACGACCCCGUUGACCUCCCCUGAGGGACCUACAGAGACACACACAGACAUCUCUCCCACUCAGCCCCCGGGAAAAAGCCUCACCAUGCUUGCCUUUGGUGUCAUGAGCUUCAUCCUCAUCCUCAUCAUUAUCAUGGUGGUCUUGGUAACCGUGGUCAACCUGAGAGACCGCUGCAGCCACUCAACAGAGGAAGGUAAAAAGAGCAGCGAUUCUGUGGUAUCAGAAAGCAAUUUCACAUACAAUGGUGAAAAAGAGAGCAUCACUUUGGUCUCCAUGAAGACCAUUCACUCAGAAACUGACACAGAUUCGCCCCAGGUCUCCUCCAUUCACAGUACAACACUGGACUACGAUGAGCAUGAACUGAGUAGGGACCUGAUGGACACUAAGCUGGUGUGAAAAUAAAGACCUUAGAUGUGACCAAAACAGAAAUGACCAAACUACUCUUACAAAAUUGACCGAUACAUCUGAGUCCACACAGCAUAUCAAAUCACUGCUGUGGCGAUAAUAUGUGCUGGCUACCACUGGGCAUAGUAAGUGUCUGUUGUAUCUACUGUCCCAUCCAUAAAAACUGACAGUAAAGUCAAAAUUGCUAUUUAUGCUAUACACUCAACGAAUAUGAAAAUAAGAUUAAAAGAUUAUUCGAAAGUACAGAAUGUCACCUUUUGUUCCUGCCGGUUCGACACUUAUAUAUGCUUAAUCGACUAAGAAUAACAGCACUGUAAGAGUUCAAUCGCCCAUUUUAUGUGAGCAGAAGUAUUGGGACACAGGACAAAUUGAUGAGGUGUUUUCUUUGGCAUUGAGUGUCAACACAUAGAAGAACGAUGAAUGUGCAGUCCAGGUCCAUCGUUUGCUUUUAUAUUUGUUGUCUGCAUUCGGUCAGUAGGAAUGACCAGAGCUGUGAAAAACAACCGAAAAAUAAGGGUCAGUGAAAUCACCAACAAGGCAGCAAAAUUACAAAGCUACACUGCAAGAUGCAAACCUCUGAUCAGCACCAAAAACAGAAAGGCCAGAUAUUUGCUAAAAAGUAGAGAUCAGAUCAGUAGAGAUACAGUUGUGGAAUAGGUUUUUAAUGCUGAGAUGAGACAAAGGUAAACCUUUAUCAAAAUGAUGGGAAGGCAAAAGUGUGGAGAAAAUAAUAAAACUAUAGAUUAUCUAAACCACACCAUCCCAUCUGUGAAGUACAGUGGAGGUAGUGUCAUGGCAUGGGCAUGCAUGAACGUUUGCUUCUGGAACAGGCUCACUCAUCUUUAUUGAUGAUGUAACAAAUGAUGUCAGCUGCAGAAUGUAAUCAGAAGUGUAAAGAAGCAUCAUGACUACCCAUGCACAAGAAAACGCCACCUGACUCAUUGGGUGGCGUUUCACAAUGCAACGGGACAAUUGCCCAAAAACACACGGCUAUUGCAACCAAGUUCAUGGGGAACCCGUUUUAGACUGGCCACGUCAAGGUCUUGAUUUAAAUUCGAUUGAACAUGCAUUUCACUUGCUGAGGACGAGACUGAAGUCAGAAACUCCACGAAAAAAGCAACAGCUCAUGGCUGCAGUAAAGGCUUGGCAAAACAUUUCAAAGGAUACUAAUUGUUUGGCGAUGUCAGUGGGUUGAAGAUUCACUGCUGUUAUUGCAUGCGAGGGAUUUGUGGUUAUAUACUAGCUUUCAUACUUCCUACAUUUUCUUUAAAUUGAAUUGUCUCAAAACUUAUGCUCGCAUUAAAUGGGAGGAUGUAAUUCUGAAAGUGAUGUUAUUCAGUUGGUAAAACAAUGUGUUCAAACAGACUAAUUCAUAUAAUCGUAUUUCACCAUGCCUUGAGUGAACAGCAGAAAAAUUUGGAUUGGCAUUCAGUAUUGCAUUAGAAUUUUUUGUUGUACUCUCAAAUUAGCCCAUGUCAGCUAUUUUUCGCUGAGUCAAUUGCUCAAGCUUUAGAAGCCAGCGAUCUAAACUUAAAUUACUCAUGCUCACAGAUAUCAUCUUACAAGCUGGUGGAUAUCCCUGAUCUAAAUGGAUGAAAUGUUUGUAUACUCUAAUGUAAAUAAUACAUUGAAUAUGUCUUAUUGUUACAUCAAAAUGGUUUUAUGAAAAUUGUGUUCUUGCAAUUGUACUUUUUACUUUUAUAAAUGGUUUCCAUUUCUGGACCACAGUUGUCAAUAAAACAAAAUAUACCGACACA
ensembl:lncRNA